GAGCCUCCAGUGACCUGAGCCGCCCAGGGAAUGAGCUGUGUGCGGAGCAGGACCGAUUCAUCGGAGAUGUUCCAGCGCUGGCGUCAGGCUGUAUCCCUUCGCAGCUGUCAGGGUGGGGUCCUUGGCAGAAUGGAUGGGAGACGCCCUGCUUGGCUGACCUCUAAGAGAAAGGAAGCAGAAAACACGAACUCCAUCUUCUCGCUAUUUCUCACAGGUCUGCCUCCUGGCCCAUCCCUCUGUCAGGGCUCCCUCCCUGCCCCCAUCAGAGCUGCCUCAAGGUUGCUCUGAACCCCAGCUCUGAGCUGCAAAUGGACUCUCGGGAAUAAGCCCCUUCACCUGAUGUCCACCUCACCCCCAGGAGUCCUCUGUGCUCCCAGCCCACACAGUCCCCUUCCCUCCCACAGACCUAGAGGUGGUGGCUGCCUCCUGCAAGCUCAUACUGGUGGGGACGAUCCCCAACCUGAUGUCCCCUCCUCUUGCCAGGCAGCACUGGGCCCUUGUCUUCUGCUGUCCCUGAGCUGGGGAUCCAUAUCUCCAUGACUGUCCUUGUCACAUCGUCACUUCGUGGGGCUCGCUUGUCUCUGCCACACCCAGGCAGCCACUUUUGGAGGCUCGGGCUCUAGCCUCCUCGUCUGAGUGUGCC
rnacentral:lncRNA from 1 species